AGAGUUUGAUCCUGGCUCAGAACGAACGCUGGCGGCGUGCCUAACACAUGCAAGUCGAACGGAGAUAAGGGGCUUGCUCCUUAUUUUAGUGGCGCACGGGUGAGUAACGCGUGGAUAAUCUACCUUGGAAUCUGGGAUAACAUCUCGAAAGGGGUGCUAAUACCGGAUAAGACCACGAGCUCUUCGGAGUUUGCGGUAAAAGGGGGCCUCUGUAUAUGCUUCUGUUUCAAGAUGAGUCCGCGUACCAUUAGCUAGUUGGCAGGGUAAUGGCCUACCAAGGCGACGAUGGUUAGCUGGUCUGAGAGGAUGAUCAGCCACACUGGAACUGAGACACGGUCCAGACUCCUACGGGAGGCAGCAGUGGGGAAUUUUGCGCAAUGGGGGAAACCCUGACGCAGCAACGCCGCGUGAGUGAUGAAGGCCUUCGGGUCGUAAAGCUCUGUCAGAGGGAAAGAAGUGUGGGAGGGUUAAUACCCCUUUCACUUGACGGUACCCUCAAAGGAAGCACCGGCUAACUCCGUGCCAGCAGCCGCGGUAAUA
rnacentral:rRNA from 1 species